rnacentral:rRNA from 1 species
CGAAGGACCCGAGCGUUAUCCGGAUUUAUUGGGUUUAAAGGGUGCGUAGGCGGACUAUUAAGUCAGUGGUGAAAGCCUUCAGCUUAACUGAAGAAUUGCCAUUGAUACUGAUGAUCUUGAGUAUGAUUGAGGUGGGCGGAAUGUGUCAUGUAGCGGUGAAAUGCUUAGAUAUGACACAGAACACCGAUUGCGAAGGCAGCUCACUAAGCCAUAACUGACGCUGAUGCACGAAAGCGUGGGGAGCAAACAGGAUUAGAUACCCUGGUAGUCCACGCCCUAAACGAUGAUCACUCGAUGUGUGCGAUACACUGUACGCGUCUGAGCGAAAGCAUUAAGUGAUCCACCUGGGGAGUACGACCGCAAGGUUG